UACGGAGGGUGCUAGCGUUAAUCGGAUUUACUGGCCGUAAAGCGUGCGUAGGCGGUUUGUUAAGUCGGUUGUGAAAGCCCCGGGCUCAACCUGGGAAUUGCAGUCGAUACUGGCAGACUAGAGAACGGUAGAGGGAGGCGGAACUCCGGGUGUAGCGGUGAAAUGCGUAGAUAUCCGGAAGAACACCGAUGGCGAAGGCAACCUCCUGGGCCUGUUCUGACGCUGAGGCACGAAAGCGUGGGUAGCAAACAGG
rnacentral:rRNA from 1 species